rnacentral:snRNA from 1 species
GUGCUCGCUUCAGCAGCACAUAUACUAAAAUUAGAACAAUACAGAGAAGAUUAGCAUGGCCCCUGUGUAAGGCUGACACACAAAUUCGUGAAGCAUUCCAUUUUUUU